rnacentral:rRNA from 1 species
GACGAACGCUGGCGGCGUGCCUAAUACAUGCAAGUCGUGCGGACCUUUUAAAAGCUUGCUUUUAAAAGGUUAGCGGCGGACGGGUGAGUAACACGUGGGCAACCUGCCUGUAAGACUGGGAUAACGCCGGGAAACCGGGGCUAAUACCAGAUCGUUUUUUCCUCCGCAUGGAGGAAAAAGGAAAGGCGGCUUCGGCUGCCACUUACAGAUGGGCCCGCGGCGCAUUAGCUAGUUGGCGGGGUAACGGCCCACCAAGGCAACGAUGCGUAGCCGACCUGAGAGGGUGGACGGCCACAUUGGGACUGGGACACGGCCCAAACCCCUACGGGAGGCAGCAGGAGGGAAUCUUCCGAAAGGGACGAAAGGCUGACGGGGCAACGCCGGGGGAGGGAAGAAGGCCUUCGGGUCGUAAAACUCUGUUGCCGGGGAAGAAAAAGUGCCGUUCGAAAAGGGCGGCGCCUUGACGGUACCCGGCCAGAAAGCCACGGCUAACUACGUG